UACGUAGGGUGCAAGCGUUGUCCGGAAUUAUUGGGCGUAAAGAGCUCGUAGGCGGUCUGUCACGUCGGCUGUGAAAACCCGAGGCUCAACCUCGGGCCUGCGGUCGAUACGGGCAUCACUGGAGUUCGGCAGGGGAGACUGGAAUUCCUGGUGUAGCGGUGAAAUGCGCAGAUAUCAGGAGGAACACCGAUGGCGAAGGCAGGUCUCUGGGCCACUACUGACGCUGAGAAGCGAAAAGCAUGGGGGAGCGAACAGG
rnacentral:rRNA from 1 species